CUUUGGUGGAUUAGUGGCGAACGGGUGAGUAACACGUGAGCAACGUGCCCAGGACUCUGGAAUAACCGCCGGAAACGGUGGCUAAUACUUGAUAGGUGCCAAGGCCGCAUGGUCUUUGGUUGGAAAGAUUUUUCGGUUCUGGAUCGGCUCGCGGCCUAUCAGCUUGUUGGUGGGGUAAUGGCCUACCAAGGCGACGACGGGUAGCCGGCCUGAGAGGGUGACCGGCCACACUGGGACUGAGACACGGCCCAG
rnacentral:rRNA from 1 species